rnacentral:rRNA from 1 species
UACAGAGGGGGCGAGCGUUGUCCGGAUUUAUUGGGCGUAAAGCGCGCGCAGGCGGCUUCUUAAGUCUGAUGUGAAAGCCCGUGGCUCAACCACGGAGGGUCAUUGGAAACUUGGGAGCUUGAGUACAGAAGAGGAGAGUGGAAUUCCACGUGUAGCGGUGAAAUGCGUAGAGAUGUGGAGGAACACCAGUGGCGAAAGCGGCUCUCUGGUCUGUAACUGACGCUGAGGCGCGAAAGCGUGGGGAGCAAACAGG